CAGUCGCCGCGGGAAUACGUAGGUGGCAAGCGUUGUCCGGAAUUAUUGGGCGUAAAGGGCGCGUAGGCGGAUGGCACAGUCAGAUGUGAAAUUCCCGGGCUUAACCUGGGGGCUGCAUUUGAUACGUGUUGUCUAGAGUGAGGAAGAGGGUCGUGGAAUUCCCAGUGUAGAGGUGAAAUUCGUAGAUAUUGGGAAGAACACCGGUGGCGAAGGCGGCGACCUGGUCCUUUACUGACGCUGAGGCGCGAAAGCGUGGGGAGCAAACAGGAUUAGAUACCCGCGUAGUCCCUGUCUCUUAUAC
rnacentral:rRNA from 1 species